rnacentral:tRNA from 1 species
AUGGCCUAAUGGUUAGGGAGUUAGACUCAAAAUCCAAAGGUUGCAGGUUCGAUUCCUGGU